GUACCUUAUGUAUAUAGAUCCAUAUUUUGGUUCACUACCUAACUUGGUUCUUUGAUCCUCGUGUGGGGUGUUCUAGAUAUAGUGAAGUAUGCAAGGAGGUUAUAAGUGAUUAAUAAGGGAUCAGUUACUCCUAAUAAGGGGAGCAAAUAUCCUAUGUGAUCUCAUAGGAUGGUGAUUCUGAAAGUCUUUGGCCAAGCAGGAUGAUAAUUAGAAAAGAGUUUCUAAUAUAUCAUCAACUAAAUCAUCACCUUC
rnacentral:lncRNA from 1 species